CAAUAGCGUAUAUUAAAGUUGUUGCAGUUAAAAAGCUCGUAGUUGGAUUUCUGGUAGGAGUGACCGUUCCGAACUUGAUUGUUCGUGUAUUGUGUUUUCUCCAGCCAUCCUUGUGGAGAACUUUUCUUGCAUUAAUUUGUAGGGAUUGGGACCCGCAUCGUUUACUGUGAAAAAAUUAGAGUGUUUAAAGCAGGCAAUCGCUUGAACACAUUAGCAUGGAAUAAUAAGAUAGGACUUUGGUACUAUUUUGUUGGUUUGCAUACCAAAUUAAUGAUCAACAGGAACAGUUUGAGGAUAUUCGUAUGAACAUGUCAGAGGUGAAAUUCUUGGAUUUUGAUCAGACGAACUACUGCGAAAGCAUUUAUCAAGGAUGUUUUCAUUAA
rnacentral:rRNA from 1 species